rnacentral:rRNA from 1 species
GACGAACGCUGGCGGCGUGCUUAACACAUGCAAGUCGAACGGAAAGGCCCUGCUUUUGUGGGGUGCUCGAGUGGCCAACGGGUGAGUAACACGUGAGUAACCUGCCCUUGACUUUGGGAUAACUUCAGGAAACUGGGGCUAAUACCGGAUAGGAGCUCCUGCUGCAUGGUGGGGGUUGGAAAGUUUCGGCGGUUGGGGAUGGACUCGCGGCUUAUCAGCUUGUUGGUGGGGUAGUGGCUUACCAAGGCUUUGACGGGUGGCCGGCCUGAGAGGGUGACCGGCCACAUUGGGACUGAGAUACGGCCCAGACUCCUACGGGAGGCAGCAGUGGGGAAUAUUGCACAAUGGGCGGAAGCCUGAUGCAGCAACGCCGCGUGCGGGAUGACGGCCUUCGGGUUGUAAACCGCUUUCGCCUGUGACGAAGCGUGAGUGACGGUAAUGGGUAAAGAAGCACCGGCUAACUACGUG